AGUGAACGCUGGCGGUAGGCCUAACACAUGCAAGUCGAACGGCAGCACAGUAAGAGCUUGCUCUUACGGGUGGCGAGUGGCGGACGGGUGAGGCAUACAUCGGAAUCUACUUUUUCGCGGGGGAUAACGUAGGGAAACUUACGCUAAUACCGCAUACGACCUACGGGUGAAAGCAGGGGAUCUUCGGACCUUGCGCGAUUGAAUGAGCCGAUGUCGGAUUAGCUAGUUGGCGGGGUAAAGGCCUACCAAGGCGACGAUCCGUAGCUGGUCUGAGAGGAUGAUCAGCCACACUGGAACUGAGACACGGUCCAGACUCCUACGGGAGGCAGCAGUGGGGAAUAUUGGACAAUGGGCGCAAGCCUGAUCCAGCCAUACCGCGUGGGUGAAGAAGGCCUUCGGGUUGUAAAGCCCUUUUGUUGGGAAAGAAAAGCAGCAGGUUAAUACCCCGCUGUUCUGACGGUACCCAAAGAAUAAGCACCGGCUAACUUCGUG
rnacentral:rRNA from 1 species